rnacentral:rRNA from 1 species
UGGGGAAUAUUGGACAAUGGGCGAAAGCCUGAUCCAGCCAUGCCGCGUGUGUGAAGAAGGUCUUCGGAUUGUAAAGCACUUUAAGUUGGGAGGAAGGGCAGUAAGCGAAUACCUUGCUGUUUUGACGUUACCGACAGAAUAAGCACCGGCUAACUCUGUUCCAGCAGCCGCGGUAAUACAGAGGGUGCAAGCGUUAAUCGGAAUUACUGGGCGUAAAGCGCGCGUAGGUGGUUCGUUAAGUUGAAUGUGAAAGCCCCGGGCUCAACCUGGGAAAGGCAUCCAAAACUGGCGAGCUAGAGUAGGGCAGAGGGUGGUGGAAUUUCCUGUGUAGCGGUGAAAUGCGUAGAUAUAGGAAGGAACAACAGUGGCGAAGGCGACCACCUGGGCUCAUACUGACACUGAGGUGCGAAAGCGUGGGGAGCAAACAGG